UGGCCAGGGGAAUUCCUGGCAGAGUGAUUUUUUUUAAACUAGAGGACUGAAUCACAUUGCCAGGGAUUUCCAAUGGCUG
rnacentral:pre_miRNA from 1 species